UCCCUUGUGGCUUAGUUGGUAAAGAAUCCACCUGCAAAGUGGGAGACCUGGGUUCAAUCCCUGGUUUGAGAA
rfam:TPA: Bos taurus chromosome 10, whole genome shotgun sequence.